CCUACGGGAGGCAGCAGUGAGGAAUAUUGGUCAAUGGGAGAGAUCCUGAACCAGCCAAGCCGCGUGAGGGAAGACGGCCCUAUGGGUUGUAAACCUCUUUUGUCGGAGAACAAAACCCGGGACGUGUCCCGGACUGCGUGUAUCCGAAGAAAAAGCAUCGGCUAACUCCGUGCCAGCAGCCGCGGUAAUACGGAGGAUGCGAGCGUUAUCCGGAUUUAUUGGGUUUAAAGGGUGCGUAGGCGGUCCGUUAAGUCAGCGGUAAAAUUGCGGGGCUCAACCCCGUCGAGCCGUUGAAACUGGCAGACUUGAGUUGGCGAGAAGUACGCGGAAUGCGCGGUGUAGCGGUGAAAUGCAUAGAUAUCGCGCAGAACUCCGAUUGCGAAGGCAGCGUACCGGCGCCAGACUGACGCUGAGGCACGAAAGCGUGGGGAUCGAACAGGAUUAGAUACCCUGGUAGU
rnacentral:rRNA from 1 species